rnacentral:rRNA from 1 species
AGAGUUUGAUCCUGGCUCAGGAUGAACGCUGGCGGCGUGCCUAAUACAUGCAAGUCGAACGAGAGGAAGGAGAGCUUGCUUUCCUGAAUCUAGUGGCGAACGGGUGAGUAACACGUAGGUAACCUGCCCAUGUGCCCGGGAUAACUUCUGGAAACGGAUGCUAAAACCGGAUAGGUAGCAGACAAGCAUUUGACUGCUAUUAAAGUGGCUAAGGCCAUGAACAUGGAUGGACCUGCGGUGCAUUAGCUGGUUGGUGAGGUAACGGCCCACCAAGGCGACGAUGCAUAGCCGGCCUGAGAGGGCGGACGGCCACAUUGGGACUGAGACACGGCCCAAACUCCUACGGGAGGCAGCAGUAGGGAAUUUUCGUCAAUGGGGGGAACCCUGAACGAGCAAUGCCGCGUGAGUGAGGAAGGUCUUCGGAUCGUAAAGCUCUGUUGUAAGAGAAAAACGACAUUCAUAGGGAAUGAUGAGUGAGUGAUGGUAUCUUACCAGAAAGUCACGGCUAACUACGUGCCAGCAGCCGCGGUAAUACGUAGGUGGCGAGCGUUAUCCGGAAUGAUUGGGCGUAAAGGGUGCGUAGGUGGCAGAUCAAGUCUGGAGUAAAAGGUAUGGGCUCAACCCGUACUGGCUCUGGAAACUGAUCAGCUAGAGAACAGAAGAGGACGGCGGAACUCCAUGUGUAGCGGUAAAAUGCGUAGAUAUAUGGAAGAACACCGGUGGCGAAGGCGGCCGUCUGGUCUGGAUUCUGACACUGAAGCACGAAAGCGUGGGGAGCAAAUAGGAUUAGAUACCCUAGUAGUCCACGCCGUAAACGAUGAGAACUAGGUGUUGGGGGAAUAACUCAGUGCCGUAGUUAACGCAGUAAGUUCUCCGCCUGGGGAGUAUGCACGCAAGUGUGAAACUCAAAGGAAUUGACGGGGGCCCGCACAAGCGGUGGAGUAUGUGGUUUAAUUCGAAGCAACGCGAAGAACCUUACCAGGCCUUGACAUCCCUUGCAGAGGUAUAGAGAUAUAUCCGAGGUUACCAAGGAGACAGGUGGUGCAUGGUUGUCGUCAGCUCGUGUCGUGAGAUGUUGGGUU